GAGAAUCUGCCUUCAGGUUCGGGACAACCACUGGAAACGGUGGCUAAUACCGAAUGUGCCGCAACGUGAAAGAUUUAUCGCCUGAAGAUGAGCUCGCGUCCGAUUAGCUAGUUGGUGAGGUAAGAGCUCACCAAGGCGACGAUCGGUAGCUGGUCUGAGAGGAUGACCAGCCACACUGGGACUGAGACACGGCCCAGACUCCUACGGGAGGCAGCAGUGGGGAAUUUUCCGCAAUGGGCGCAAGCCUGGCGGAGCAAGACCGCGUGAGGGAGGAAGGCCCAAGCGGUUGUAAACCUCUUUUCUCAGGGAAGAAGAAAGUGACGGUACCUGAGGAAUCAGCCUCGGCUAACUCCGUGCCAGCAGCCGCGGUAAUACGGAGGAGGCAAGCGUUAUCCGGAAUUAUUGGGCGUAAAGCGUCCGUAGGUGGUUUUGUAAGUCUGCUGUCAAAGCACAGGGCUUAACCCUGUAAAGGCAGUGGAAACUACAAGACUCGAGUGCGGUAGGGGCAGAGGGAAUUCCCAGUGUAGCGGUGAAAUGCGUAGAGAUUGGGAAGAACACCUGUGGCGAAAGCGCUCUGCUGGACCGCAACUGACACUCAGGGACGAAAGCUAGGGGAGCGAAUGGGAUUAGAUACCCCAGUAGUCCUAGCCGUAAACGAUGGAUACUAG
rnacentral:rRNA from 1 species